rnacentral:lncRNA from 1 species
UCAUCAUCCUCAUCAUCAUCGUCGUCAUCAUCAUCCUCGCCUAAAACCAUCUGAGUUCUUUCUGUCAUCGUCAUGCUCACCGACUCUGUGCUUCCUGUAUUGCAGGGCAAAUUGAAUGAACACCUCGCUAUUAAGUAUUGAGCUCUUGUAUUUGUCAUGCAUUAUCAAGCACAGAGUAAUUUCUGUGUGGAGAAAAACAAUGAUUGCUUUACAGUGAAAUCUAGAAAGAUCCAUUAUGUAGUUUCUUUGCUCAUGAUGGAAAACAAAAAGAAAAAUAAAAAAAGAUUGUAUACAAUGAGACCAUACAAUGUGAAAUUUGAUAGCUUGAGUGUGUCAUAAAGGUAAUGCAUUGAUAUGAAGAUAUAACCUAUCAAAUGUAGUAGCAAGCAGAUAACUUGAGUUUUGUGUUUGACAAUUCAUAUCCCUGUUUCAAUAUUGCAUGACUUUCUAAAAAAAUGCUCUGAUUUCUUUAAAAAUGUUUUAAAUCACAACUUCCAAAAUAUUACAGCAUUUUAUCAUUUCUUUAAGAUUUAAAAAAUUAAAAUCAUUAUUAUGGUUGGUUCUUUGUCAAAUUAGCUCCUAAUUUGGAUGUAAGAUUUAAGGCAUUAAUAUUGUAUUUUAGUUGAUUAUGUAUAAUAAAGGCUUUAUUUUGAAUAUUGCAUAAUUAUUUGCCCUCCCCCUUGCACAUUAUACAUUUUUUUAAGUUCAUUUUUUUAUUCAAAGAAGAACCAGAUAUUUCUUAACUCACCAAAUUGCUAGCACACUCAAGUUUUUUUCUGGGUCAUAGCUCUUUAGAACAAACUUUUAGUUGUACUGCCAUUUAGAGGCAUCCAAAUGAAGGGAACAAUACGAGGAGUAAAUAGAUAAAAAUUCAAUUGGGAAAUUCUGACAUCAAAUCGAAAUACCUGUAAAAUGUUAAAAUAGAACCUGGGCAUCAUAGAAAAACAAUGUUCAAAAAACGACUAGAACAUGCCGAUUACGACCGGGAACAAGAGGGCUCAGCCGGAUUGCCAAUCCAGACCAAUUUCGAAUGGGCAAUCCAGGUCACCAUUCAUGUUUUUAAACACGAAUGUCACUACUAAUUGUAAUUUUGCUUUAUAAAAUCCUCAAAUUGAUCGAACCUUGAUUGGCAUGGAUGUAAAAAGAAAAAGAUUUCAAACCUUAAAAGUGAUUAUAUUCUAACAGACUACCUCGACUUUUCAAUUUUAAAUGGGUGUGGUUUGUAUAAGGUUGAGACCCAAAACAAUCUAAUAAGGUACACCUUUUGACGUGUUUUAAUACCAAAAUCUUUAUGAUAGACUUAAACAAGUUAUUUCAUCUCUAAUUAUAAAAUCUAAAACUUCAAAAAUAAAAUAGAUCAAAUAUAUCUGUAAACACUUGAAAAUCUUGAAAAUUGAAAACAAAAUAGAUCAAAAGAUCAAAUAUAUCUGUAAACACUUGAAAAUUGACAGUCCAACUCUAAAUAUAUGACUUGAGGUCCAACUUCCGUGAUGCCCAUGUAACUCAAGAUCAAGGUGAUCAAAUUUAAGGAUUUAUCAGCAUCAGAAUAACUUCUACUUAGAGUUUUUAGGUGAGCCUUAGUUUUGAUUGUUUAGCCAAGCCACGUGAAUCAGACGGCCCGAAGCCCAUAGGAAGAUUAUGGCUAACUACUCGAAGUGAAAAGCAAAAAUAUUCUAAAAUUAAUUACUUGGAUCUGGAAAAAGAAAGUAGAGUCCAUCUAGCUUUCAUGCUUGAACCAUACCAUAGUAUAAAACAUAAAUAAGAUCCCUAUUGAGUAUAAAAUGAAAAAUUCGUAUAGUAUAAAACAUAAAUAAGAUACCAAUGAGUAUAAAACUAAAAAUAAGUGAUAUGUUUAUAUCACGCACAUAUCACCCGACCCAACAGAACCAUUUGAUUCGCAGUUAAACAAGGGAAGUAAAUAAAUAAAUAAAUAAAAAGCUUUAUGUAAAAAAAAUUUUAAAAAAAAUAUUUAUAGAUCCACAAAAAGGAUCUAUAUCAAUUUUUGAGCUACAAAUUGAUAUAGAUUUGUCCGUAGUGAAAAUAGAUUUUAAGGCCAUUGCAAGCAUUGAUGGAGACGGUAGUGGAAAUAGAUUUUAAGGCCAUUGCAACCAUUGAUGGAGAUUUCGCAACGACUUGGAAAUGGAAAAGGCCAUUGCAGGAUUUUCCUAUUCCCAAAGAUUAUGGAACCAUUGAUGGAGAUUUCGCACUGCUGUGGAAAUGGGAAAAUUUAGGUUUUUUGUGAGGAAAUGAGAUCGUGAAAAAAUACAUGGCAUUUCCAUGAUUUUUAUUUGGAUAAAAUUUAUAUAAGAAUGCUACUUUAUAGAGUAGAACUACGCCCCUCAAAAUCCAUCAAAAAAGUUAGUUUUAAUGUUGAAAAAUCCUUUGAUUGAUCAUCUCGACUAUGAAAAAUAAAAAAAAUUUAAGUCUCUUUUACAACAUGUUAUCUACACUGUCCAUUUUCAAAUAUUUUCAUAUGUUUAUAGAUCUAUUUGAUUUUAACCAAGUUUAAAAUUUAAAAUUUUGUAAUUAGAUAUAAAAAUAGAUUUUUAAAUAAUCCUAAUAACAUUUUACAUCAAAAUUAUAUACCAUAAUAAAAUUUGAAAAGGCACUGUACCUAUACACCACCUUUUUAUUUUCCUGAUUUCAGGUAUCCUAACCUCUAAGCAAUCCAAACGGUAAUAUCCAGGAUACUAAAAAUCCAUGCCCCAAACAGGCUGAAAGUGUUUCAAAAUUUUCACACAAGAUUUUGAGUUUGAGGCUUAAAAGCAAAAAUAAAUAAAUAAAUAAAAAGCUGGAACCACCCAGCAUCCCCUAAGAUUUUGAGUUUGAGGCUUAAAAGCAAAAAUAAAAUAAAUAAUAAAAGAUGGAACCACCCAGCAUCCUAAGAUAUCUGCAAAGGAUCAUUUUAGUAAAAUAGGCUGUUAGACAAAAACUGGGAAAAGCAAAACUAAAUAAGUAAAAUUUUUAAAGCAAGAACAUAGAGAAAGAUGGAGAGUGUGAUGGUGCUUGGAGACAACCUUGUGGGGUGUAGCACAAAGCCAUACUAUGAUACCAUCUAAUUUUGGUAUAGGGUUCCAACAACAGGGCAUCCCACAGAGAACCUGUGGGUUUUUCAGAGCCACUAUUUUCACUGCUCUUCCCUUCUGCCUAGAACCCUUCUCUAAAAAUUCCCUAGAAAAUCAAGAAACCAAAUCCAAAUAGAAAAAAAUAUAUAUACAUUAAAAUUAAAACCUGUAUAACUAGAAAAAACACAGAAAAAGGAUGGGUGAUGCCUUUGAUAGAUAAGUAAAAUAACUCUCUUUUUUAUGGUGAACCUUGAGCAAUCAGUCUCCUCGUCUGAUGAGCCUACAAAAAUAACCAUCCUCUAAACCCUAAGUGAG